rnacentral:pre_miRNA from 1 species
UACUGCACGGUGUGAAGUGGUCACUUGAGUUGCAGUGGGGUAGUGGAACAUGCUGCAUCCCAUGUGACUGCUCUACACAGUGCCGUG